rnacentral:lncRNA from 10 species
GAAUUAGAUACGCCACUGGCUGAAUCAUGCCUUAUGAAACAUAAUUACAUACAGCCCAAACCUAAUGUGAUUUGCAUUUUCUGAUCUUUUCCUUAGACACAGUCAUUGAAAUUAAUGAGGAGGAACCUAGUAGUCUUAGUGAAGUAAACCUUAUGCAUUAUUAAGAAUCUCUCAUCCCUGUUUAUUGAGGAGCCAUUGGCAGACUGAUAUUGUAGAAAAUAAAGAGAGGCUUCAGCCCGUUGGAGAGGGAGUAUAGGAAAUCAGCUCUCUCUUUUAAUGCUGCUUUGUGGAAGUGUUUGGGAGAAAAAAAAAUAACAGAUACUUGACUGUUAUAACUUACUAACUAUAGUAAAGAUAGUUACUUCUAGGGAGAAGAACUUAGGUGGUUUCCACUGGAUUAAAAAACAACCUUAUUUCUCUGCUUUCCUCCAAAUCCCCACAUAACAACAAAAACCUAACUUGUGAAAGAUCUUAAGCUCUUACUGUUUUUAAGUAGAACUUGGAUUUUCAGAUAUUUUUUAAGUUCGUAAAGCUGUUUCUUCUGACAAUAAUAGAGAUAAAUAGAGCAUUCAUACUCAAAUCCUUGUUGGUUUGGAAUUUCAAGCAAGGAUGUGAAGACAGAAGCACUCUACGAGCACUGGAAGUAUCUGGGAUACUUGUGCCUGCUUAUCGUUUUUGUUUUUUUAGGUUUCUUUCAAAAUGAAGAUUCACGCAGUGAUUGUAACUGUCUUGAUGAGCCAGGUUGUAGUUUACAAAGUUUUAUUCCAGAAGGAAAAAAGCCACUUCACCUAGAAAUUUUGCAAACAAAUCAACUUUUACUCUGUGAGUAAUCCAGGGCCUAUCAAGACUACAUUUUAGUUGACUGCAAGGCCUCUGAGGCACGGGAAUUCACAGCUGAGUUCUUGGAGAAGGUCCUUGAGCCAUCUGGAUGGCGGACAGUCUGGCACAUGAUGUGCUCAAGGUGCUGCUUGAGGCCACAGAUGUGGACAUUUCAGCCUUGAAGGCAGUGGUGCAGCUUGCUGAGCCAUACCUCUGUGAAUCUUGAGCGAGUACUUUCACCUUGGAGUGUGUGAAAGAGCUCCUCGAGCUGAAGGAACAUCAGUUGCCCCUGAAGGAGCUGGGUGGUGUUUGAUGAUUCUGGAGACAGCACUUGUAACUUGUAACUGAGCAUGUCAGCUAGGAAGGAGGUAUCUGGUCAGAGAAGGUGUUUUCUGAGGCUGCUUCCUGGAUCCCUAGGGUUUGUGUUCCUGCCAUUCAGCCUAUUUGGCAGUUAUUUCCACCUGUACAAACAGACCCUUUGUCCCUUACAUGAGAAAGAAAGCCCACACCUGGAUUCAUAUUAAUAGGAUAGCCACUGAGCAAGCCUGUAAGGCUAUUGGUCUGCCCAUUCUGGUUUCUUCACCAAUGAGAAAACUGGGACCUGGGGAGUUUGCAGAAGCCAUCCAAGGGCACCUGCUUCUCACAGCACAGCAGCUUCCUGCAGCCCUCCCUCCUGUCUUGUUUCUCCCUUAAUUGAGAGGAGAGGCCAGAACCAGAUGCAGGCAGUUCCAACAGUAAUGAAUUGCUCUAAGGUGUGGAUCCAAGAACCGGUGACAAGGUCAGGAAAUUCCAUCCCGGGACACUGACCCAACUAAGAGACUGUGCAUGAUGGCUAAGUUCAGAGCUCUGAGGAGAUGGUAAAACUCAUUUGCAACGAAACAAGAUAUUUUCCAACUCUGCAGCCAGGUGCAGAAAGCUGGAAGUGAUGCUCCAGGGAGUUUAUGUCUCCCCAUCUUGACCCACACCAAUACCUGAGGCUCGUUGCUUUGAUUCAAGUCCGGACAAGCUCUAAGGUUCAGCUCACACUGGGAGUCACGCUGCAGGAGCUCCUGGGAGUCUGUGAACGGUGGUGAUGCAGAAAAGCAAAGCGUGUAUAUCUGUUUUAGUCCUCCCUCAGAUCUGCUGAGGACACCUUGAGCCUGAAGUGAAAUCACAGUGGCUCUCAGGAAGAAGGGUGACUGUCUGGUGUGCAGUUGUGCUGCCACGGCAAAGGGAACUUUAAAACAUAGAACUGCCAUGUAGAAGCUCAGGAAAUAUCCAUGACCAAAUCCAUUUUCUUACAGGUCUGUCAUCUCUUUUGGUCAUAGAAUCAAAAAAAAUGGAAGACGAGAAAAGGCAGUGAAGACUGACAGCCUGUUGGUUGCUAUUCCAGUCGUGUCUGCUCCAUACGCGCCCUCCAUCUCAUCCCACCCAGUCAGUAUAUUUUCACCAGGCAGUGUUGCAGAAAUGUCUGUGGACUCCAGUUCUAUUGCAGUCAGGCAGCAUUUACAGGUUUGACUUUCAACUGACCAUGGCAGGAAGUCUAGAGGCAAUUAUAGCCAACACCUGCUCUAUGUGCGUGCCGGGCAGGUGGUGGCUGAUUCCUUGCCUCCAAUCCAUGAUGUGUUUCCUAUCAGCUCAGAAUAAUAACAGUGACACCUCUGCUUCUUCUCUGUCUGGGGGAGCUCAAGGCACUUUACUCUGAAAACCCUCAAAUUACUGGCAUUUCUUUUAGUGAAGAUAUCAAAUUAAUGACUGAAAAAAAUGUAGAAGAUGGUUAUUGGUGAUGUUAAAAGACAAGUUUAACCCACUUCCACACAACAUGUCUUACAAGCGUAAAGUAUUUGAGUAGAGAAAACUAUGAAUCUAAAAUUGAACAAGAUGUGAAUUUAGACAGACAGCGUUUGUGGUCACAGAUGUGCCGAGAUGAAGACUGGAGGAAGGGCACAGUUUCUGUAGCAGUGACUUCCACCCAGGGUGUGUCUUGCUAUUGUGUGAAAUGAUUUUUGACACUGGACAAAUCUCUACUUCCACUUACAAUGUUUUGCCAGCUAGCUGAGGCAUUCUGGGAGGGUGAGGAGCCUGGGCUUGGGCUGACCUCAGGAAAUCCUGUGUAAAGGGCUUUUGCACACUCAGAAGCAGGCCAGGUUCACCGCUGUUAUGUGCAAUAUUCACUCCUGGCUCUUGCUUCUGAGCCUUGGCAAACCUGAGUCCUAAGAGGCCAAUGAAAAGGAAAACACGUUAAGGAGCCAGGGCGCUUCUUGGAUAUCAGCCUGAAUAGUUCUGUUUCAUCUGGACCCCAAUUUUACUCUCCUGCUGUUUUACACGGAACUAAAAAGAGCUUUACAGAGGACCAGAUAGACUGCAGGUCCCUAGGCAGUCAGGGGCCAGGCAAGGCAUAGGAGGGUGUCAGGCCUCUGAGCUCAAACUAGGCCAUCAUAUCCCCUGUGACCUGCACGUACACAUCCAGAUGGCUGGUUCCUGCCUUAACUGAUGGCAUUGUCUUGUGAAAUUCCUUCUCCUGGCUCAUCCUGGCUCAAGAGCUCCCCUACUGAGCACGUUGUGACCCCCACUCCUGCCUGCCAGAGAACAACCCCCCUUUGACUGUAAUUUUCCUUUACCUACCCAAAUCCUAUAAAAUGGCCCCACCCCUAUCUCCCUUCACUAACUCUCUUUUCGGACUCAGCCUGCCUGCACCCAGGUGAAAUAAACAGCCUUGUUGCUCACACAAAGCCUGUUUGGUGGUCUCUUCACAGGGACUCGCAUGAAAUUUGGUGCUGUGGCUCGGAUAGGGGGACCUCCCUCGGGAGAUCAAUCCCCUGUCCUCCUGCUCUUUGCUCCAUGAGAAAGAUCCACCUACGACCUCAGGUCCUCAGACCAAGCAGCCCAAGAAACAUCUCACCAAUUUCAAAUCUGGAAAGCAGCCUCUUUUUACUCUCUUCUCCAACCUCCCUCAAUAUCCCUCAACCUCUUUCUCUUUUCAAUCUUGGUGCCACACUUCAAUCUCUCCCUUCUCUUAAUUUCAAUUCGUUUCAUUUUCUGGUAGAGACAAAGGAGACACGUUUUAUCUGUGGACCCAAAACUCCGGCGCCGGUCACGGCCUGGGAAGGCAGCCUUCCCUUGGUGUUAAUCAUUGCAGGGAUGCCUCUCUGAUUAUUCACCCACGUUUCAGAGGUGUCGGACCACACAGGGACGCCUGCCUUGGUCCUUCACCCUUAGUGGCAAGUCCUGCUUUUCUGGGGGAGGGGCAAGAACCCCAACCCCUUCUCUCCAUGUCUCUACCUCUUCUCUGCUUUUCUGGGGGAGGGGCAAGAACCCCUCAACCCCUUCUCCUUCACCCUUAAUGGCAAGUCCCACUUUUCUGGGGGAGGGGCAAGAACCCCUCAACAUCUUGUCCUUCACUGUUAGCAGCAAGUCUCACUUUUCUGGGGGAGGGGCAAGAACCCCUCAAACCCUUGUCCUUCACCGUCAGCAGCAAGUCCCGCUUUUCUGGGAGAGGGGCAAGAACCUCUCAACCCCUUCUCCUUCACCCUUAGAGGCAAGUCCCGCUUUUCUGGGGGAGAGGCAAGAACCCCUUAUUUCCACAGCCCGACCUCUUAUCUCUGUGCCCUGAUCCCUUAUUUCUGUGCCCUGACCUCUUAUCUCUGCACCCCAACCCCUUAUUUCUGCACCCCCACCUCUUUCCCACUUUUCUGGAGGGUAAGAACCCCCGAACCCCUUCCCUCCAUGUCUCUACUCUCUCUUUUCUCUAGCCUUGCUUCCUUCACUAUGGGCAACCUUCCACCCUCCAUUCCUCCUUCUUCUCCCUUAGCCUGUGUUCUCAAGAACUUAAAACCUCUUCAACUCACACCUGACCUAAAACCUAAAUGCCUUAUUUUCUUCUGCAAUGCCGCUUGAUCCCAAUACAAACUUGGCAGUAGUUCCGAAUAGCCGGAAAACAGCACUUUCAAUUUUUCCAUCCUACAAGAUCUAAAUAAUUCUUGUCGUAAAAUAGGCAAACAGUCUGAGGUGCUGACGUCCAGGCAUUCUUUUACACAUUGGUCCCUCCCUAGUCUCUGUUCCCAAUGCAACUCGUCCCAAAUCUUCCUUCUUUCCCUCCCACCUGUCCCCUCAGUCCCAACCCCAAGUGUCGCUGAGUCUUUCUAAUCUUCCUUUUCUACAGACCCAUCUGACCUCUCCCCUCCUCUCCAGGCUGAGCUAGGUCCCAAUUCCUCCUCAGCUUCCGCUCCUCCACCCUGUAAUCCUUUUAUCACCUCGCCUCCUCACACCCAGUCCGGCUUACAGUUUCGUUCCUUGACUAGCCCUCCCCCACCUGCCCAGCAAUUUACUCUUAAAAAGGUGGAUGGAGCUAAAAGCAUAGUCAAGGUUAAUGCUCCUUUUUCUUUAUCCCAAAUCAGACAGCGUUUAGGCUCUUUUUCAUCAAAUAUAAAAAUCCAGCCCAGUUCAUGGCUCGUUUGGCAGCAACCCUGAAAUGCUUUACAGCCCUAGACCCUAAAAGGUCAAAAGGCCAUCUUAUUCUCAAUAUACAUUUUAUUACCCAAUCUGCUCCCGACAUUAAAUAAAACUUCAAAGAUUAAAUUCCAGCCCUCAAACCCCACAACAGGAUUUAAUUAACCUUGCCUUCAAGGUGUACAAUAAUAGAGUAGAGGCAGCCAAGUAGUAACAUAUUUCUGAGUUGCAAUUCCUUGUCUCCACCAUGAGACAAACCCCAGCCACAUCUCCAGCACACAAGAAUUUCCAAAUGCCUAAACCGCAGUGGCCAGGCAUUCCUCCAGCACCACCUCCCCCAGAAGCUUGCUACAAGUGCCAGAAAUCUGGCCACCAGGCCAAGGAAUGCCCGCAGCCCGGGAUUCCUCCUAAGCCAUGUCCCAUCUGUGGGGGACCCCACUGGAAAUCGGACUGUUCAACUCACCUGGCAGCCACUCCCAGAGCCCCUGGAACUCUGGCCCAAGGCUGUCUGACUGACUUCUUCCCAGAUCUUCUCGGCUUAGUGGCUGAAGACUGACAUGCCCGAUCGCCUCAGAAGCCCGAUAGACCAUCAUGGAUGCCGAGCUUUAGGUAACUCUCACAGUGGAGGGGAGAAACGCGAAUGGAUGCGAGGUGGUGCAAAAUCCACAAAGGAGCUCCAGGGGACGUGGCAGGAUCCCUCUGCUAUGACUGUGCUGCAUAAGAGUCUGAGCCCACGCCAACCUAGAGUGAUUCUAAAGACCAUUUCCACAUGGAGAAGCUGCCAGAACAAGCACUGCUACCCUUGGAGGCCAUUGACAUUGUGAGGUCGCUGGGACUGAAAGGAGGUUGACCAGAAGUUCUGUUUGGCAAUGCAAAGCCAGGAGGAAAAGUUAAUGGAGUUUGUCCCCCGGGUCCCAAGAAAGCUGACCCAGGACGAUGAAGCUAGAAUUUGUGUUCUAGGAGGUGCUGCUUCUUCCAGGAAAGUCUACUCAAAGCACACACUGUGAGCUGCUGCAUGUCUCUUGAGCUAGUUCACUGCAGUUUUCAUGAUGAAAGUGAUCUGUUUCAGUAAACUUUCUGUUAUUUGAGAGCAUGGGAAAAAUAUUUGCUGUGAUUUCCCAAUUCCCCAUUUUUUCUGAUUCUUUGUUGCAGUUUCCACAACUUUGUUAUCAGGCUGUGACAGAGGUUUGUGAACUGAUGAAAGCUCCAGAGCCUCCCAGGCCCUCUGAGUCUGAUGCCUGCACUCCACAAUCAGGCCUCAAGCUCAGGGCGCCUGCCACCAACCCACGCUGGGCUUCAGGGGCAGGCAGCACUUGAAUGGGGUUUGGUUAUUGUCUUUCUUUAUUUUCUCUUAUUUUAAGCCUUAAAAAAAAAAAGAUAAGGUCUUGCUCUAUUGCCCAGGCUGGAGAGAAAUGGUGUGAUCAUAGCUCACUGCAGCUUUGAAUUCCUGGGUUCAACCGAUCCUCCCACCUAAGCCUCCCGAGUAACCAGGACUGCAAGUAUGCACCACCACACCCAGUUAAUUAAAUUUGUGUGUGUGUGUGUGUGUAGAGGUGGGUUCUUGCUUUGUUGCCCAGGCUGGUCUUGAACUCUUGAGUUCAGACAAUCCUGCCACCUCAACCUCACAAAGUGCUGGAAUUACAGGCGUGAGCCACUGCACUCAGCCUCCUUAAGCCAUUUGCUUAAGUGGCUUUAUUGCAAAACAAUAUCAGAAUAACAAAGAAAUAUAAGGUCAAACUUUCCCUGUUCCCAUCUAGUCCAAUAAGCAUUGCUGCUCUUGCCAGGGAUUCUCGCCCAUCUCCAUGUGCCAGUGCAAUCCAUACUGGUUGUUCUCCUUGGCUACCCCACAUCUGAGUCUCUGCCUUGUCUGCAUUCUUCCCCACUUUAUGAAGAGAUGAGUCAGUGCCUGAUUUUUUCUGCCUCUCUUGUCACUAGGGCACAGCCAUGUGCAUGGGCCCUGUCACUCAGAAGCCCCCAUCCACCAACAACAUGGCUCUGGGGGCCUCCUCUCUCUGGAAGAAUUGGCAGUUUUAGCAAGAAAGGUUUUCAGAGGCAGCAAUGAUGGUGGAGAUGUCCAGGGCCAGUGGCAGGUCAAACCAUUCUCUGUGUCAUUUGGGGCAGUGUUUAUGCUGUCCCUCAUUUUGGUUCCCUAAGCCUCCGAACAUGUACGUGAAUUUCCGAAUAUUCUCAAUUAAAUUGUUUUUCUGUUGAAAUUGGCCUGGUUGCUUUCAACUAUGACAAACCUAGCUAUAUAAGUAUUAUUUUGUAGUGUUGGGAUUGAUAGAACUUUAUGUUCUACACAUUAGCAGAAUACCAUGUGUAUUUUUCCAUUUGACAUAAUCUUUUAUCUUUCCAUUGAUAAGUAUUAUUACUAUUUAGUGAUAUAUUAUUUGAGUUCUCUUGCCCCUUUUGGGUAGCCCAUGUUAACAGUAAUACCCAGCUGCUACACUGAGAGCCUCUGAGACUUACUGGCUUCAGGGGAGACAGCACAUUAUCAGCUGUGGUGGCCAUGGCCGAGACUCCUUUUGCCUGAGAAAAGCAGAGGAAAAUGUAGAAGGGACUUCGUCUUGCAUCUGAGACACCAGCACAGCCACAGGGUGGUAGAGCACCAAGGGGGCUUUUGGAAUCUUUGAUUCUGGGAUGUGGCUCUUGGAAGGCAUUUCUGGACUUGCCCUGGGCCAGGGGGAGCCCACUGUCUUAAAGGGUGAGUCCCAGGCCAGGCAGCAUUUGCCACAGUCGACUGAAGAGCCCUGGGGGCCUUCAAGGGACAUAGAAGGUAAUCUGAAAGUACUCCGCAUAGGCCUGUGGGGUGGUGGCCAUGGGGCAAGGCUGCCCUGCCUCUGGAAAGGGUAGGAGAGAGUGAGAAAGACUGCAUCCUGUUGUCCGAGUGCCAGCUCAGCCACAGUACAAUAGAACACCAGCUAGGCUCCCAGCCAGCACCUCUGGACCAGCCUGGAAACUGGGGGUAACUCAUCGCCCUGAAGGGAAGGACAAAGGCCUGGCUGGCUUUGCCGUCUGCUGAUUGUUGAGCCCUAGGCGGGGAGCGGUUACAGUCGGCCUUGGGUGAGACUCAGAGCUGCACUGGCUUCAGGUCUGACUCAGCACAGUCACAGUGAUGGUGGCCACAGGGGUGCUUAUGUCACUCUAUCCCAGCUUUAGGUGGCUCAGAACAGACACACUCCAUUUCUUUGGGAGAAAGUAAGAAAGAGAACAAGAGUCUCUCUGAUAAUCCAGAGAGUUCUCCCAGAUCUUGUCCAAGAUCAUCAAGGCAAUACCACUGAGUCUGCAAAAACUGCAGUGUUACUGGGCUUGGGGUGCCCCCUAAAACAGAUACAACUUAGAUCACAACACCCAUGGCCUUUUAAAUAUGUGAAAAGCCUUCCCAAGAAGGACGGGUACAAACAAGCCCAGAUAGCAAAGGCUACAAUAAAUACCUAACUCUUCAAUUCCAGACACAAAUGGACACCUACAAGUAUCAAGACAUUCCAGGAAAAAAAUGACCUCACCAAAUGAACUAAAUAAAGCAUCAGGGACCCAUCCUGAAGAAACAGAUACGUGACCUUUUAGACAGAGAAUACAAAAUAGCCACUCUGAGGAAACUCAAAGAAAUUCAAGAUAACACAGAGAAGGAAUUCAGAAUUCUAUCAGAUAAAUUUAACAAAGAGAUUGAAAUCAUUCAAAAUGAUCAAACAGAUACUGUGGAGAUAAAAAAUGGAAUUGGCAUACUAAAGAAUGCAUCAGAGUCUUAAUAAUAGAAUUAAUCAAGUAGAAGAAAGAAUUAGCUUGAAGACAGGCUAUUUCAAAAUACACAGUUAGAGGACUCAAAAGAAAAUAGAAUAAAAAAUAAUGAAGCAUGUCAAAGAAUCUAGAAAAUAGCCUCAAAAGGACAAAUCUAAGAGUUAUUGGCCUUAAAGGGGAGACAAAGAAAGAGAUAAGGGUAGAAUGUUUAUUCAAAGGGAUAAUAACAGAGACUUUUCGAAACCCGGAUAAUAAUAUCAAUAUCCAAGUACAAGAAAACAGAACACCAAGCAGAUUAAAUCCAAAGAAGACUGCCUCAAGGCAUUUAAUAAUCAAAUUCUAAAGAUCAAGGGUAAAGAAAGGAUCCUAAAAGUAACAAGGGAGAAGAAACAGAUAACAUACAAUGGAUCUCCAGUAUGUCUUGCAGUGGACUUUUCAGUGGAAACCUUAAAGUCCAGGAGAGAGUGGCACAACACAUUUAAAGUGCUGAAAGAAAGAAACUUUUACCCUAGAAUAGUAUAUCCAGCAAAAAUAUUCUUCUAACAUGAAGAAAAAAUAAAGACUUUCCCAGGCAAACAAAAGCUGAGGGAUUUUAUCAGCACUAGACCUGUCUUAUGAGAAAUGCCAAAGGGAGUACUUCAAUCAGAAAGAAAAGGAUGUUAGUAAGUAAUCAUGCGAAAGUACAAAAUUCAUGGGUAAUAGUAAGCACACAGAAAAACACAGAAUUUUAUAUCCCUGUAACUGUGAUGUGUAAACUACUAUUAUUCUAAGUAGAAAAACUAAAUGAUGAACCAAUCAAAAAUAAUAACUAUAACAAUUUUUCAAGCCAUAGACAGUACUAUAAGAUAUAAAUAGAAACAACAAAAAGUUUAAAAUCAGGACAAAGUUAAGACGUAGAGUUUUUAUUAGUUUCCUUUUUUUUUGCUUCUUUGUUUCUUUGUUUAUGCAAACAAUGUUAAGUUGUUAUCAGCUUAAAGUAACAGGUCAUAAAGAAGCCAGUCAUGGUGUCUCACACUUGUAAUGCCAGCACUUUGAGAGUCCAAGGUGGGUGGAUCACUUGAGGUCAGAAGUUUGAGACCAGCCUGGCCAAUAUGGCGAAACCCCAUCGCUACUAAAAAUACAAAAAUUAGCCAGGUAUGGUGGCACAUGCCUGUAAUCCCAGCUACUCAGGAGGCUGAGGCAUGAGAACCCAGAAUGUGGAGGUUGAAGUAAGCCAAGAUCACACCACUGUACUCCAGCUUGGAUGACAGAGCAAGACUCUGUUUCAGAAGGAAAAAAAAAAGUCAUAAGAUAGUAUUUGCAAGCCUCAUAGUGACCUCAAACCAUAAAAACAUACAAUGAAUACACAAAAAGUAAAAAGCUAGAAACUAAAUCAUAUUACUAGAGAAAAAUCACUUUCACUAAAGGAAGGAAAGAAAGAAGGCAGAGAACAUCACAGAACAACUAGAAAACAAGUUAACACAAUGGCGGGAGUAAGUUCUUACUUAUCAAUAUUAACAUUGAUUGUAAAUAAGAACACCAAUAAAAUGAAAGAUUACAUCAAGUUAAAAAGUUAAAAAGCUUCUGCACAGCAAAGGAAACAGUCAAUAAAGUGGUAACCCCGCAGAGUGGGCAAAAAAUAUUUGCAAACUACCCAUGUGACAAGGGAUUAAUAACCAGAAUAUAUAAGGAGCUCAAACAACUCUAGAGAAAAACAAAUCUAAUAAUCUGAUCAAAAAAUAGGCAAGAUAUUUGAAUAGACAUUUCUCAAAAAAGACAUACAAAUGGCAAACAGUCAUAUGAAAAGGUGCUCAACAUCAUUGAUCAUCAGAACAAUGCAAAUAAAAACUACAAUGAAAUGUCAUCUCAUCCCUGUUAAAAUCGAUUGUAUCCAAAAGACAGGCAAAAACAAAUGCUGGUGAAAUGUGGAGAAAAGGGAACCCUCAUACACUGUUGGUGGGAAUGUAAGUUAGCCCAACCACUAUGAAUAGUGGUUUGAAGGUUCCUCAAAAAGCUAAAUAUGGAGCUACCAUAUGGUUCAGCCAUCCCACUGCUGGGUAUAGACCCAAAAGAAAGGAAAUCAGUAUAUUGAAGAGAUGUCUGCACUCCCGUGUUUGUUUCAGCACUGUUCACAGUAGCAAAGAUUUUGAAACAACCCAAGUGUCCCUCAAUAGAUGAAUAGAUAAACGAAAUGUGGUGCUUUUACACAAUGGAGUACUGUUCAGCCAUAAAAAUGAAUGAGAUCCUGUUCUUUACAACAACAUGGGUGGAAAUGAAGAUCAUUAUAUUAAGUGAUAUAAGCCAGACACAGAAAGACAAACAUUACAUCUUCUCAUGUACUUAUGGGAUCUGAAGAUCAAAAUAAUUGAACUCCAUGGACAUAGAGAGUAGAAGAAUGGUUACCAUAGGCUGGGAUUAGUAGUGGGACAGGUGGGGCAGGGGGCAGGUUAGGACAGGUAAUAGGUACAAAAAUAAUAGGAAGAAUGAAUAAGACCUACUAUUUGUUAGCAUAAAAUGGUACUUGUAAUCAAUUACACUUAAUUAUAUGUUUUAAAAUAACUCAAAGAGUAUAAUUGGAUUCUUUGUAACACAAAGAAUAAAUGUUUGAGGAGAUGGAUACCCUAUUCAGCAUGAUGUGUUAUUAUGCAUUGCAGGCCUGUAUCAAAGCAUUUCAAGUACGCUAUAGAUAUAUACACCUACUAUGUACUCACAAAAAUUAACAAAUUAAAAAAUUAAAGAAAACAGAGUGAGAAUGGGAUGGUGAGCAGGUGGUAUAAGGUAUAUGAUAUUGGUGUUCAGACUGUUAUCCAAAACCCUAAGAAUAGGCCAGGUGCGGUGGCUCACACCUGUAAUCCCAGCACUUUGCGAGGCUGAGGCGGGUAGAUCAUGUGGUGAGGAGUUCAAGACCAGCCUGGCCAAGAUGGUAAAACCCUGUCUCUAGUAAAAAUACAAAAAUUAGCCAGGCAUGGUGGUGGGCGCCUGUAAUCCCAGCUACUUAGGAGGCUGAGGCAGAGAAUUGCUUGAACCCAGGAGGCAGAGGUUGCAGUGAGCUGAGAUCAUGCCACUGCACUCCAGCCUGGGCAACAGAGCGAGACUCUGUCUCAAAAAAAAAAGGCAAAAAAAACAAAA